UGGGGGAUAUUGCACAAUGGGCGAAAGCCUGAUGCAGCGACGCCGCGUGGGGGAUGAAGGCCUUCGGGUUGUAAACUUCUUUUGCUCUGAACAAGGCAUGCUAAUGGGUGUGUUGAGUGUAGGGGUUGAUUAGCGCCGGCUAACUACGUGCCAGCAGCCGCGGUAAUACGUAGGGCGCGAGCGUUGUCCGGAAUUAUUGGGCGUAAAGGGCUUGUAGGUGGCUGGUUGCGUCUGUCGUGAAAGCUCAUGGCUUAACUGUGGGUUGCGGUGGGUACGGGCUGGCUUGAGUGCAGUAGGGGAGGCUGGAAUUCCUGGUGUAGCGGUGGAAUGCGCAGAUAUCAGGAGGAAUACCGGUGGCGAAGGCGGGUCUCUGGGCUGUUACUGACACUGAGGAGCGAAAGCAUGGGGAGCGAACAGG
rnacentral:rRNA from 1 species